rnacentral:lncRNA from 1 species
CCUCCCUUUGCCAGCCUUGUAAUGGGGCGGCGGAGGGGACCAGCCACCGGUUGGGCAGAAGCAGCCGGCGUCGGCCUGGGAUUGGACCACGUCACGGGGCCAGCGCGCUCCACUCCUUCCUCCCCAGCGCCGGCCCCGGGGCGACCGCGGGACCUUUUCCGGCGCUGGAUGCUUUGCUGCCGGGGUUCGGGAGUGACCUGCGCCUAGAGCAGGUCGGGCGCACUGCAGUCCCGCACUCGGGGCUCUUCUUCCGGUCACCUGUAGAGCCCGGCCGAGGAAUGGAAUAACAGGCGUCCUGUCCGCAGCCCCGCGGAGGGGGCGCUGGCCUGCCGCUCCAUAGAAAUGUGCGCAGUCGCCCGGGCGCGGUGGCUCACGCCUGUAAUCCCAGCAUUUUGGGAGGCCAAGGCGGGCGAAUCACUGGAGGUCAGGAGUUCGAGACCAGCCUGGCCAACAUGGUGAAACCCCGUCUCUACCAAAACUACAAAAAUUAGCCAGGCGUGGUGGCGGGUGCCUGUAAUCCCAGCUACUCACGAGGCUGAGGCAGGAGAAUUGCUUGAAUCCGGGAGGCAGAGGUUGCUGUGAGCCCAGACUGCGCCACUGCACUCCAGCCUGGGCGACAACAGCGAGACUCCUUCUCGAAAAAGAAAUGUACGCAGUCCUUGGAGACUGCAUUUUCCUUAAGUGUGGAUGGAAAUAAGUCAUCUGUUUUCUCUCCUACUAAGUUGAUGCCUGGCCACCCUUCACAGAAAGGCCCGCUUGAAGACCCUGGCUGUCAGGGCCAGGGUUGUGUCAAGCCUGAACUUGUUUAAGGAGCUCUUAGCUCUUCCUUUCUCUACAUUUUUCGUGAUGCUUAGGUGGAGAGUGGUCCGGUGUCUAUGCUUAGAAGGAAAAAUUAUUGGCAGUCCCAGAGAGAGUCUAUUCUUCCUUUUUUUUUUUUUUUUUUUUUUAUUGAUCAUUCUUGGGUGUUUCUGGCAGAGGGGGAUUUGGCAGGGUCAUAGGACAAUAGUGGAGGGAAGGUCAGCAGAUAAACAAGUGAACAAAGGUCUCUGGCUUUCCUAGGCAGAGGACCCUGCGGCCUUCCGCAGUGUUUGUGUCCCUGGGUACUUGAGAUUAGGGAGUGGUGAUGACUCCUAACGAGCAUGCUGCCUUCAAGCAUCUGUUUAACAAAGCACAUCUUGCACCGCCCUUAAUCCAUUUAACCCUGAGUGGACACAGCACAUGUUUCAGAGAGCACAGGGUUGGGGGUAAGGUCAUAGAUCAACAGCAUCCCAAGGCAGAAGAAUUUUUCUUAGUACAGAACAAAAUGAAGUCUCCCAUGUCUACUUCUUUCCACACAGACACAGCAACAAUCCGAUCUCUAUCUUUUCCCCACCUUUCCCCCUUUUCUAUUCCACAAAACCACCAUUGUCAUCAUGGCCCGUUCUCAAUGAGCUGUUGGGUACACCUCCUAGACGGGGUGGUGGCCGGGCAGAGGGGCUCCUCACCUCCCAGAAGGGGCGGCCGGGCAGAGGCGCCCCCCACCUCCCGGACGGGGCGGCGGCCGGGCGGA